GACGUAGGGGGCGAGCGUUGUCCGGAUUUAUUGGGCGUAAAGAGCUCGUAGGCGGCUCGUUGCGUCGGCUGUGAAAACCCGCAGCUCAACUGUGGGCUUGCAGCCGAUACGGGCAGACUAGAGUUCGGUAGGGGAGACUGGAAUUCCUGGUGUAGCGGUGAAAUGCGCAGAUAUCAGGAGGAACACCGGUGGCGAAGGCGGGUCUCUGGGCCGAAACUGACGCUGAGGAGCGAAAGCGUGGGGAGCAAACAGG
rnacentral:rRNA from 1 species